rnacentral:rRNA from 1 species
UGAGAUACGGCCCAGACUCCUACGGGAGGCAGCAGCUAAGAAUAUUCCGCAAUGGACGGAAGUCUGACGGAGCGACGCCGCGUGGAUGAAGAAGGCCGAAAGGUUGUAAAGUUCUUUUGCUGGGGAAGAAUAACCGCAGGAGGGAAUGCCUGUGGGAUGACAAGAACCGGCGAAUAAGCCCCGGCCAAUACGUGCCAGCAGCCGCGGUAACACGUAGGGGGCGAGCGUUGUUCGGAAUUACUGGGCGUAAAGGGCAUGUAGGCGGCUUGGAAAGCCUGGCGUGAAAGUCUGCAGCUUAACUGCAGGGGUGCGCUGGGAACUGCUGAGCUUGAGUGACGGAGAGGGAGCUGGAAUUCCUGGUGUAGGGGUGAAAUCUGUAGAUAUCAGGAAGAACACCGAUGGCGAAGGCAAGCUCCUGGCCGAUGACUGACGCUGAGGUGCGAAAGUGUGGGGAUCAAACAGGAUUAGAUACCCUGGUAGUCCACACAGUCAACGAUGUGCACUAGGUGCUGGGGCGGUAGCUUCGGUGCCGGAGCGAACGUGGUAAGUGCACCGCCUGGGGAGUAUGCUCGCAAGGGUGAAACUCAAAGGAAUUGACGGGGGCCCGCACAAGCGGUGGAGCAUGUGGUUUAAUUCGAUGGUACGCGAGGAACCUUACCUGGGUUUGACAUACGGAGGGAGGUGGCAGCGAUGUCGCCGUGUCGCAAGACGACUCCGUACAGGUGCUGCAUGGCUGUCGUCAGCUCGUGCCGUGAG